GAACUGGAAUGUAGUGUUGUUUUAAAAGUUGCCCGCAUGAUUUUGAUACAUAGAAAAGGUUGGGAGCUACUACUGAUUGUAAGAUCUUUGGCUCCAGUUGAAGUAGUGCUAAAAGCAGGCUGCUGAGAAACUAGGUGAAACUGAGAAACUUAGUAUAAUGAUUGAAGAAUGUGGAGGCUUAGACAAAAUUGAAGCUCUACAAAACCAUGAAAAUGAGUCUGUGUAUAAGGCUUCGUUAAGCUUAAUUGAGAAGUAUUUCUCUGUAGAGGAAGAGGAAGAUCAAAACGUUGUACCAGAAACUACCUCUGAAGGCUACACUUUCCAAGUUCAGGAUGGGGCUCCUGGGACCUUUAACUUUUAGAUCAUGUAGCUGAGACAUAAAUUUGUUGUGUAC
rnacentral:lncRNA from 10 species